AAAGAACGAUUCACCCUCCUUUUGGCGCAUCGGCCGUUGGAUCGCGAAUUGGUUGCUUCGAGAUCUGCGCAUAUGGAUGGAUGCCUUUUGCAUUGCUUUGAGAUCUAUGCGGAGCGAGAUCCGACGGGCGACGUCGCGAAAGAAGAUCGAUCAUUUUUCGAGCGAAAGAUACAUCCAUUUCCUAAGUUGCCGUGUAAGAUACGAGGCG
rnacentral:lncRNA from 1 species